CAGCCCGACUGGGGUAGUACCUCGACCUUACAGAAGAUCACAGCAAAAUAAUACUGUUUUCAAGCAGUAUUGUGUUCCUGUUGGUGAGUAAGGUGACCGGAGCUCCUGGGGGGAUUGGGGAUUGGGUCGGCAACGCGCUUGCGAUGCUUCUGGUGUUGCAGGUGUCUAUAAGCUACGGUAAUCGCUUACCAUCAGGUGAGCCGUACGCUUGUUUGCCUAACUAGUGACAUAAAAAAAAAAAAACCUCGAAAAAGGAGG
rnacentral:misc_RNA from 1 species